UACGAGUGCCUCAAGCGUUAUCCGGAAUCAUUGGGCGUAAAGGUUGUGUAGGUGGUUGUAUUAGUCUUCUGUUAAAUUCUUCGGCUUAACCGGGGGCAUGCAGGGGAAACGGUACGACUAGAGGAUGCGAGGGGUCUGUGGAAUUCAUAGUGUAGCGGUCAAAUGCGUUGAUAUUAUGGAGAACACCAAAAGCGAAGGCAGCAGACUGGAGCACUCCUGACACUGAAACAAGAAAGCGUGGGUCGCGAAUGGG
rnacentral:rRNA from 1 species